GACGAACGCUGGCGGCGUGCCUAAUACAUGCAAGUCGAACGAAGCUGUUUUAACUGGUGCUUGCACCGACUUAAACAACUGAGUGGCGAACGGGUGAGUAACACGCGGGUAACCUGCCCCAAAGCGGGGGAUAACAUUUGGAAACAGCUGCUAAUACCGCAUAAAAGUCAAAACCACAUGGAUUUGAUUUAAAAGAUGGCCUUUGUGCUAUCACUUAUGGAUGGACCCGAGGGGUAUUAGCUAGUUGGUAAGGUAAUGGCUUACCAAGGCAAUGAUCAGUAGCCGAACUGAGAGGUUGAUCGGCCACAAUGGGACUGAGACACGGCCCAUACUCCUACGGGAGGCAGCAGUAGGGAAUCUUCCACAAUGGGCGCAAGCCUGAUGGAGCAACACCGCGUGAGUGAAGAAGGGUUUCGGCUCGUAAAACUCUGUUGUUAAAGAAGAACGUAUCUAAGAGUAACUGCUUAGGUAGUGACGGUAUUUAACCAGAAAGCCACGGCUAACUACGUGCCAGCAGCCGCCGUAA
rnacentral:rRNA from 1 species